AACGAACGCUGGCGGCAGGCCUAACACAUGCAAGUCGAGCGAGGACUUCGGUUCUAGCGGCGGACGGGUGAGUAACGCGUGGGAAUGUGCCCUUCUCUACGGAAUAGCCCUGGGAAACUGGGAGUAAUACCGUAUACGCCCUAUUGGGGAAAGAUUUAUCGGGGAAGGAUCAGCCCGCGUUGGAUUAGGUAGUUGGUGGGGUAAUGGCCUACCAAGCCGACGAUCCAUAGCUGGUUUGAGAGGAUGAUCAGCCACACUGGGACUGAGACACGGCCCAGACUCCUACGGGAGGCAGCAGUGGGGAAUCUUAGACAAUGGGGGCAACCCUGAUCUAGCCAUGCCGCGUGAGUGAUGAAGGCCUUAGGGUUGUAAAGCUCUUUCAGCUGGGAAGAUAAUGACGGUACCAGCAGAAGAAGCCCCGGCUAACUCCGUG
rnacentral:rRNA from 1 species